rnacentral:rRNA from 1 species
GACGAACGCUGGCGGCGUGCCUAAUACAUGCAAGUAGAACGCUGAAGGAAGGAGCUUGCUCUUUCCGGAUGAGUUGCGAACGGGUGAGUAACGCGUAGGUAACCUGCCUGGUAGCGGGGGAUAACUAUUGGAAACGAUAGCUAAUACCGCAUAACAGUAGAUACCGCAUGAUAGCUGCUUAAAAGGUGCAAUUGCACCACUACCAGAUGGACCUGCGUUGUAUUAGCUAGUUGGUGAGGUAACGGCUCACCAAGGCAACGAUACAUAGCCGACCUGAGAGGGUGAUCGGCCACACUGGGACUGAGACACGGCCCAGACUCCUACGGGAGGCAGCAGUAGGGAAUCUUCGGCAAUGGACGGAAGUCUGACCGCAUGCAACGCCGCGUGAGCGAAGAAGGUUUUCGGAUCGUAAAGCUCUGUUGUAAGAGAAGAACGAGUGUGAGAGUGGAAAGUUCACACUGUGACGGUAUCUACCA